AUUGAACGCUGGCGGCAGGCCUAACACAUGCAAGCCGAGCGGCAGCGGGAAAGUAGCUUGCUACUUUUGCCGGCGAGCGGCGGACGGGUGAGUAAUGCCUGGGGAUCUGCCCAGUCGAGGGGGAUAACUACUGGAAACGGUAGCUAAUACCGCAUACGCCCUACGGGGGAAAGCAGGGGACCUUCGGGCCUUGGGCGAUUGGAUGAACCCAGGUGGGAUUAGCUAGUUGGUGAGGUAAUGGCUCACCAAGGCGACGAUCCCUAGCUGGUCUGAGAGGAUGAUCAGCCACACUGGAACUGAGACACGGUCCAGACUCCUACGGGAGGCAGCAGUGGGGAAUAUUGCACAAUGGGGGAAACCCUGAUGCAGCCAUGCCGCGUGUGUGAAGAAGGCCUUCGGGUUGUAAAGCACUUUCAGCGAGGAGGAAAGGUUGGUAGCUAAUAACUGCCAGCUGUGACGUUACUCGCAGAAGAAGCACCGGCUAACUCCGUGCCAGCCGCCGCAGUAAAAC
rnacentral:rRNA from 1 species